CCCGCCCCUUCGUUUUCGCGCGCGGCGACGGGAGGGUGCGAGGGACAAUCCUCGUUCGGACCGCGAGGUUCUGCAGGGGGCUGCCUGAAGGGGGCGGUCGCAGUCUUAGCGAGAGGUGCCCCUGGCGGUUUACACCUUCGUCUUGAGCUGGGCGCGCCACAGCGCAAAGUGCUUUUACGCCUCAGAGGGGCUAAGCACGUAGAUACCACUAUAAAUAAUAAUAAUUACCGUUCUACGCCGUGAACUGGAUAUUAAAACCUUCAUUUCCUAGAUGAGAAAACUGAAGCACAGAAAGCUUUAAAAACAACUUGCCCCCAAAAACGUUAAAAUACCUUAGGGGCGAAAAAAGUGUUGAGGAGGGAAAAUGAAACGGUAAAUAUUAAGAAAAAACAAAAAGAAAUGUUCAUCCUGAUGAAGCCUGUCUUCCCCUUGCCUGGCUCUUCUAACUUGUAAUGGAGGAAACUCAUUAAAAGAGCUUUAAUACUUUGUGGAUAUUCUCAUUGAUGAUCUUCCCCUCAGAGUUCACUUAGGACCCGACGUGAACGAAACAAAGAUUGGGACAAGCAAAGGAUUACUCUGUGAUAGAUGUUAACUGGAGUCCUCACCCAGUAGAUGGGAUAACUUACUUCUAGAAAGUACUGCCCAGCAAGAGUCAUCUUCAGGAAGAGGGACUUUUGGACUUUAACAGAUGAGUAGAAUUUU